GUCUAUGGCCAUGCUACUCUGAAAAAGCCCGAUCCCAUCUGAUCUCAGAAGCUAAGCAGGGUCAGGCCCGUUAGUACUUGGAUGGGAGAUCACCUAGAAGACCAGGUGCUGUAGACG
rnacentral:rRNA from 1 species